UCUCUGUCAUUGAUUCUUGUCAAUAAGAUUAUGUCUUGAAGUUUUAGUUUGGUUGAACCUGUUUGAGGACCUUUGAGCCUCAUAACCUGGCUGCCCAUAUCUCUCCCACGCUAUAGGAAGUUUUCAGCCAUUGUUUAUUUAAAUAAGAUUUCUGUCCUUUUCUUUCUUUCCUCCUUUGGAGACUCACAUAAUGCAUAUAUUAUUUCUCCUGGUGGUAUCCCAUAAACUUUCUUUUUGUACCUGCAUUCACAGAUCCCUUCUUCUGCUUGAUCAAAUCUGCUGCUAACUCUGUUGCAUUUUUCAUUUCAUUCAUCGUAGUCUUCAGCUCCAGAUGUUAUUUGGUUCUAUUUUAUCAUGUAUAUCUAUUUAUUGAGCUUUUAGUUUUGUUCAUUUAUUGUUUUCCUGAUUACACUGAGUUUUAUUUAGAUUUACACUGAUUUUAUUUUAUUUUAUUUAGAUUUACACUGAGUUUUAUUGUAGCCUGCUAAGUUUCUUUAAAGCAAUUAUUUUUAAAUUCCUUGUUGGGCAAUUUGUAGACCUCUCCUUCUUUGGGGUUGGUUACUGAGAAAUUAUUGCAUUCUUUUGUUGGUUUCAGGUGUGUGUGUGUGUGUGUGUGUGUGUGUAUGUGCCCUAGUGUAUGUUCUGUGAAGUCCUAUGUUCCUGUUUUCACACAUGAAGCAGUAGUCAUUUUCUCCAGUCUUUACUGACUCGCUUUGGGAGGGGAACUCCUUUACCAGUCAGCCUUGCUAGAAUUCUGAGGCUCUCUCAGAUCUUUUCUAUAAACGCACUUCCUCCACUCUUCUUUUUCUUUUGGGAGGUAAUUCUUAAGAUUGUUUAUGUACCUUCUCUCAAUCUCAUUAAGCCAGGCUUUGUGCUGAAAGCCUCUCAUUUGCUUUCCCUAGGGCAGUGCCCUGAAAUGUUCAGGUUAAUGUACCUUCUUCUAAUUCCACAGAGUCAAGCCAACUGACUACAUGUGACUAGAAACCACCUGUAAGGGCUUGUACUCAUGACCAAGAAAAUGUGCAUGGGAAUUGGCCAAAGGAGGGGUGGAAGGGAAGCAUGUGGAGCAUGGAGGCACCUGUGGCAUUGGUUGGGUACACAGGUGACGCAUCCCAAUCAACUCAUGGGCAGGCCUUCUAAUGGAGUUUGAGAUGCAAUCAGUCAGAUACAAACAGCUGUUGAAUUAUAAGUCAUAGCUGCUGUGAUUUGUGCUGCCCCCCAAUCCCCACCUUUCCCUACUUUCAGCGACUCAGACAUGCUGAUUUCCUCCAGUAUUCUGGGUGAGUCAAGAAAGAGGUGAGCUUCUUGGACAGCAUUCUGCACAGAUGGUUAAGCUGGGUAUUCACUACACUAACUUUCCCCCUGGGGGAAGAAUCAUGGGCAAAUCCUGGCACUGAACUGUGCUGCUUUACAGGAGAGGUGACGUGAGUAAAAUGAAAUUAUUCUUCUUAAUUUCUUCAAUGCAUCUCUUCUUAAAUUUUUUGCUCAGUUUCAGCAGUGAGCUAGAAACUCCCUGCUGGACUCUGACUCCCACAGAGGUACUCUUGUCCAUCAGUGAUGGUCAAAAUCAGUGCUGCUACAGGGAGAUGAUGAUAGAAAACUUCUAUUGUGCUAUCUUGCUGAAAUCAUUCCUGAUCCACAUUUGUUGUUGAAAAGAACCAGAUCCUUCAGUUCAGGAGAUUAUCCAAAUUUUAUUAUUAUUUAUAGCACUAAAUAGAAAGGUACAUGCUAAGGAAGUAAAACAUAUUCUUGUGCCCAUCCCCUAAUUACUCUCCCUUGCACACAUUUCCAGGGAAAUAACAAAAUUAAAAAAUACACAGGGGGCAUUCUAAUACAUUAUUCCAUCAAGCACCAACUUUUUUGUCAGUCAGUAUCCCUGCCAUCCCCUUUUCAUCCCCACCCCAUGGCACUAUAUCCAAGACUAGAUUUGGCCUUAAUCUCGUUCACAGAUUGGGUUUUCUUGGAACAUAAUGCAGUAUAAACCACCUCUGCAACUACCAGAUGCUAAGCAGCAAUAUAAUCGGAGAGUGAUACCAUUGUCCUGCCAGAAACUAUCAAGACCUUCAAAUCAGCAGGAGGCAGCUUCAGGGGGUGACGAAGAACUAAAGUGAGCCAAAAAGGAACAUUUCUGUGCUGCUUCCAGUAACACAAUGCAUAUUCUAAUGUGAUUGUGGGCUGGAAAGAUUUCAUGUGCCCUUGUGGACUAACUUUACUGUGUGCCUGGAAAAGAGAGUAUUUGGAUUCCCUGGCAGCUUUCAACAAAUUUACCCCUCCCUGUAACACCUGCUUUUGUUGAUUAAAUUUUAACAGAACAUUUUUUUACCUUUAAUAGGGUGAGUUUAGGAGGAAAAAUGAAAUUGGCAUCAGCUUUCUUGACAUGAUUAUUAGUAAGUGCAGAGCACUAGAGGUAUCUGUUCGGAAUAAGAGAAAAGGCCUUUUUGCCAUGUGAGUCCUUAUCUUACAAUACAAAAUUUUAGUUGGUAAUAUGUUAGACUACUUAAUUUACAAUCUGGCCUGUCCAAAAUUGUUGCUAAGUUUUGAAAUCUUAGAUAUUAAUGGCAUUCUCCUGCCUUGAAAGAGUACAUGUUUCAGGAUUCACCUGGAGUUUAUCAUGUACAUCCUAAUUAACGUGAACUUCACUAAUUCAUAAUAAUAUAAAAAUGCUGUGCAAGGCUGGAGUUCACCUUUACUUUAAAGAAAAUGUUUGAUAGAUAAGUGAAUGUAAAUAAAAAUGUUUAGGCAAAAGAGGUCCUAUUCAAACAAUAUAGGUCCUGUGGGAGCCCACUUUCCACACAUUUAAAAAUACAUACUACCAGGCUAGGCACAGUGGCUCAUGCCUAUAAUCCCAGAACUUUUGGGAGGAUGAGGCAGGUGGAUCGCCUGAGGUCAGGAGUUUGAGACCAGCCUGGCCAACAUGGUGAAACCCCAUCUCUACUAAAAAAAAAAAAAAAAGCCAAAUGUGGUGGCACAUGUCUGUAAUCUCAGCUACUCAGGAGGCUGAGACAUGAGAAUAGAGAAUCACUUGAAUGCAGGAGGCAGAGGUUGUGGUGAGCUGAGAUCGCGCCACAGCACUCCUGCCUGGACAACACAGCGAGACUCCAUCUCAAAAAAAAAAAAAAUACUACCUACAAAAUUGAAAAUUGCAGCAACUAAUUAUUAAACUGGUUUCCCUACAAAUUAGACCAUAAUUUGGUUAUGUAAGCCAAAGAAGGAAAAGAAAACUUUCUUUUAAUACAAGCUCUUAGAUUCAAACUUUCUCCUAAUUUACACAGAUAUCACCUUGAUUAUUCCAGAUUAGUAACUUUAUUAAAGAUUAGGUUAUCCAAAGACUGGGAUUUACACCUGCUGUUCUCACUGGCUCUCUCCCUCUUUCUCCUGGAUCCCUCACUAUGAGGGAAGCGUAUGAAAAGGCCCACAUGGCAAGGAGCUAAAGCCUCCUGCCAAUAGCCAUGAGAGAGCUAGGAAUGAAUCCUGGAGCCCAUAAGAUGAUGGCAGCCCAAUAGCUUAACUGAAACCUCAUGAGAGACACCAACCCAGUGUCUUGGUUCCCCAUCUACAAAAACUAUGAGAUAUAUUUUUUUAAUGUUAUAAAAUUUGGGGUAAUCUGUUACACAGCAAAAAUAAUAAUGUAGAAAGACAAUAAAAUUCCAGAUAUCAGUGGUCUGACUGAAGAAUAAGGGCAAAAUACCAAGAGUAGGAGUGAGAGGGGUUACACUGGAAAUGGACUUAUCUGUGAGAAUAAUGGGCAUUUGGAGAGGCAAACCGAUGCUUCUCCAAAUGUCAGCAUGCCAAUGUGGAAAAAGCAGAAAGAAAUAUGAACUAUGGCAAGCUCAGUGGAAACUGGAUUCCUAAACUCACUGAGGCCUCUGUUACUGUAGGGUGUACUACCAGUAGAAACUCAGUAACAUUAAACAAAUGUAAAGUGCUAUCAUUGGGGAGAAAGUGAACAGAAACUUUUCCCUUAGGAAAAGAGAGCAAAGGCAAAUAAUCAGACCAUUAAAAAAGAUCAAGAAUUCAUCUUUACUCUUCUGCAGCUAGAACAAGGAAUACCAGAUAAUACAAACUCUGUGUUCAGAGUUGCUUUUUCCUGGUCACUUGACUAUAAAUUAAUAAAGUUUUUGUUUAAAUUUUAAAAGUAAGUUUGUUUCUUAUAUUACCUGUUGAUUAUUCCCAGACAGGCUGAUGACCAUAUCCAGGUUUAGUUUUCCGUUUUCAUUUCCUCAAUUCAGUCCCUGAUUUUCAGCCCACUGAUUUUAUGUUUUUAUCACUGUUAGGCAAUAAUUAAAGAAAUUUAAAGAUAUAAAAUCUAAAACCUGCCCCUUUUCUUGUUUUACGAGGAAGAAAGUGAAAAAUGUCAAACCUAGAACAACAACAAAAAAGGAAAUUAGUGAUCAAUUUUCAGGCUCAACAUUUCUCUUCCCGACUCUGGCAUGGGUUUUAUGCUUACUCAGGUUAUUUUCCUUCUGCUAUUUCAGCAUAUACAUAUGUAUCACCUUCAUUUUCUGUAUACUUUUACUGCCUUACACAUUUAUUUAUUUUGCUUUUUCGUCCACAGGUGAAUUUCAGGUCCCUUCCUGGAUAUGGGUCUUUCUGCCAAUAAUGUGUCCAGAACAGGAUACAGCAUUCCAAGUAUAGGAUUUUCUCCACAGUCAUAUAAACCAGAUUUUUUUGACUUCUGUGGCUCAGUCUAGGGUCUCUAGUUGCUAUGGAGAAAAGUCUGGCAAAAGAAGGAAAAAUGCUGGUGCAGCCACAAGCUUGUGACCACAUUUUCUUUAUAUGGGAAACAUAAAGAAAGCUAGCACAGCUCUCUAGAGAACAAGCACCUCAGUCCCUGGUCAUCUGCAUCAUUUGUCAAUGGAACCAGCCUUGAACUCCUGACUUCCAGACCUUUUGUGGCUCAUGGGCAAAAGGGACUUGCCUUGUCUCAAAUGAGACCCGGGACUUUGGACUUCUGAGUUUAUGCCGUAAUGAGUUAAGACUUUGGAGGACAGUUGGGAAGGCAUGACUGUAUUUUGCAAUGCGAGAAGGACAUGAGAUCUGGGGGGCCAGGGAAGUUUAACAGGCAAGAAACGAACUGCAGAUAGAUGGGAUCCUGGGAUGUCACCACGGGCAGGGGGACAUAAAAGCAUCUGUUCUGGAAACAGGAAAAUUGAGGAAGAAGGAGCCCAAGAUAGCAGACAGCAGCAGUCACAGAAUCAGGCAAGCAAAGAAAUAUCAAGACUCAGUCCAGUUGUCACCUGGUGUUGAAUAACUGGGUGUGUUUUACUGUUUAAUUUAGCCAUUUUUCUUACUUUCCUUUUUAAAAAUUUUGUAAAACUUUUGUUU